UUCUUGCCGAAGCCCUCGUCGACUUCGCUGGAGCCCUCACGGAGCACCCACGAUUCUCCUCGCUAAAGUGCCCACGAUUCUCCUCGCCGAAGCACCAGUUCUCCUCACUGAAGUGCCCUCGCGAUUCUCCUCGCCGAAGCACCAGUUCUCCUCACUGAAGUGCCCUCGCGAUUCUCCUCGCCGAAGCACCAGUUCUCCUCACUGAAGUGCCCUCGCGAUUCUCCUCACCGAAGCCCUUGCGAUUCUCCUCGCCGAAGUGCCCUCGCGAUUCUCCUCGCUGAAGCCCUUGCGAUUCUCCUCGCCGAAGUGCCCUCACAAUUCUCCUCUCCAAAGCUCUCCUCGCCGCGCCCUCGCUGCGACGACUAUGGGCCCUAAGGCGCCCUCUGUGCGGCUGUAAUGCUGGAUUGCCUCAUUAUUUCACACUUCUGCAGACUCUAAGUGUAUAGAAUAUGCCAAUAUGGUGAUUCCAAUGUUGCUUCCAAAUGAUGAAGAGAUUUGAGGAGUUCAAUGCUGAUCUGAUUUUGAUGGUCAGUGUACUAUAUGUUUGCGAGAGUUAGGCGUAUGUGAGCAUGGUGAAGAGACAGAAAAGGAGACAAGAGGCACAGAGGAAGAAUAAGAUGAUGAUGAUGCCUUAAGGCAGUUAUUCAGUACCAUUCUCUACAGCCAUGGUACUCAAGGUUCGCUGUCUCCCAAUAUUGCUUGGUAGACCAUCCUUGCUGGGAUAUCACCUUCCAAUGCGGUUCAUCUGUGUCAGUGCUGCUUCUGAUACCCAUGUUAGUUUAAAAACCGAAGCAUGGGUGAAACAAUUUGAUCUUCCUUGUAAUGAACUAGAUGAGACCAAAUUUAAAGCCAUGACAUCAAUUUCUCAUAAACCACUUAUACCAUGCAUUAUACAUGUUCAUGAGAAGGAUUUAGGAAGCAGAUCAAUGAUGAGCUUCUGAUCUAGAAGUUUGUCCUCGAUGUGAGAAGAAUAGUCUGAUCAAGCUAGAAAUUUGUCCUUA